rnacentral:misc_RNA from 1 species
GGAAGAGGGAGAGCAGCGGCAAGAUCAACAAUAAACUCAGUUUUCAAGUAUCGUAUAGCAAUGGCUCUAGGGUCCAUAACAAGAUCACCUCUUCCGAAAACGCGGGAGCUAGGGGCGACGAAGGCUGUCCUAAACUUGAUGAUAACAUGCAUGAAAAAGAAUAUGUCAGUGACGGUGCGAGCUAAGGUGACCCAAAUGCCAAGGCCAUAGUCAAUCCCCAUGCAAGUGUCCCCGUUUAUAAUUGGGAGGUAGAAAUAGAGAGGGUCUAGAAAGAGGGCGAUCAUGCAAGUGACAAGGAAAAUGUGGUUCCAUUUGUUGACAAAGUUGCUUCUGGGGUCAAGGAUUUGAUCCCACCAGGAAACUUUUUGCCGAAGAGAAAAGCUUGUUGGGAAGUGGGAGAAACGGGAGGAGCCGUAAGCUCUGAGAUUAUUCAUAUUGCUUUGUAGAGAGGAGAGGAAAAGUGGAAUGAAGUUUAAAUGAGAAAUAGAGAGAAAGAAAGAA